rnacentral:lncRNA from 1 species
GUGUCAGUUUACUGUGUCGGCAGUGCCUUUGCUAAACGGCCCUAAAAGCUGAUUUUUAUGGCGACGACAGCAUAGACUAUGUAAUAAUAGUUCGCUUCGUGUUGCGUUUUCCACGAAAGCUCCGGGCGAGCAACACUCAGUCUGUGUGUAAAUGAACGUGUUACGAAGAGGAGGACAAAAGAAUCGAGCAUAUUGAUGAGUCAGUCAGUGGAGAUUUUUCGGCAAGAACCUUUCUGUUUUUUUUUUUUUUUUUGCUUAAAAAAAGCGAUAUUGGAGCGCCCUAAGGUGUUUUUGUAGGGAAACAUCUAAUCUUACAAUUGACACAACUUAACUUAGUACACUUCUGCGAAGUACGGUUUGGUUUGGCCGAGGAACCCCAGCAGCCACAGGCGGUGUGACUCUUGAGUCUGAGUCUGAACUGAGGCUCCUGACGAGACGCGAAAGGGGGAUGGAGCCUCGGACCCAACAAUAGCGACCCUUCACUUGGGGACGGAAUUCACGAGUGAAAGCAGCUCUCCACCUUCCUCUGUCGUCGUCAAAAGUGCGUGGGAAACACACUUUAUUACACCUCCUACGAUGAAAUGUGUGCUUGUCGCCUUCGCUGAGACCGCGGAGAAGUCAGAGCAGCCCACCUGAGUGAGCGAAGUCGAGGAGUACCGCGCAAAUCUGAGCACAUCCGUAGACUCAGACACGCGCGCGCGAGCGCGCGCGCGCACACCCUCACGCGCGCACCAUUUCUUUGAUGUCUCCGCGUGACAGACCUGUAAAGCGCGCUCCUUUGGACAGAACCAGGAGGAAUAGCAAUAAUCUCUACUCCCCCGGUAUAUCCCCAGUUGGAGGUAUUCUACAGAUGGAUUUCCCAGUCCUUUACACUAAAUCUCCUAGCAAGCACUCACAGGCACAGCAGAUUUUUGAAUUUCAGGUACAGUAUAGUGCCUUGAGCAAUUUCUUAGUUAGUCUCUCAGGUGAAAUGAAAUUUGUGCAAAAUUAAUGAAUGGAGCACGUCAUGAGAGAGGGCUUAUGUCAAUGAAAGUUUUCCGCUGAGGAUGAAAUCUGGAUGGCAGUCUCCUCUGAAGUUCUUGUCUCCCCU